GUCAGGCCAGUGCCUCAGCCCCGCCCAGUGCCACCCAUCCCCUCACCGACACCCCACUGCCAUUCCCUCCCCAGCGGCCGUGGGCCUGUCAGGCAGGCGCCCAAGCACCGAGAGCGGAGGGAAAGAGUGUCCAGACCUGCAGGGGCCAGGCUGUCAGAUGCACUGGUCUCACUACAGAAGUUACCCCCGCGCACUCCGCACAAGGACCAGCUCUGCCCCGCGGCCUUACUCCAAACUGCGCCGGCCAGUCCCAGCAGCCGCGGGCCCAGGCUCCACAUAAAGGGCUCAAAACGUCUGGUUCAGUGGUUAAAAGCUGUUCACAGGGAUGACUGGACCCAACUAAGCAUUCUUUCGUCUGUAGUGAACGUUUCACUAAAAAAAGCUCUUGGAAAGGCUGGAUGGUCAGUACUACAUGCUCAAGCUAUGGCCGUGCCCUCCAUCUUCCACCUGACUGAGAAGGGGAGCUGAAAGCCGUGACCGCCCCAGGAGAAAGGACACCAGGAAGGGCACCGGGGGCCUGAGGAACAUGCGAGUGAAGCAGAUGGGAAAGGAGCUGCAGGUUGAUCAUUGCCCUUAAGGGAAAACCUGAGGGCCCAGCAGGGCUCACGCAAGUUGAAGCGAGCCACUGUGCAUGGUGAACCUGCCUCCAGGGCUGCCCAGGAAGCCGCCAGUCAGGAGCAGGUGCAGAGUCGCUGGAAGGAACUCCAGGAUACAGUGUGGCCUCCACAGCAUCAGGCAGCCAGGGAGAUGCAAACAUGUCUGCUAUAGAUGCUGGCAAUGAGACCCCCCUCUUCCCUGCCAGGGCCUCUUAGAGCACACUCGAGAAAGGCCC